rnacentral:misc_RNA from 1 species
UACGAAGGGGGCUAGCGUUGUUCGGAAUUACUGGGCGUAAAGCGCGCGCAGGCGGUCUUCCAAGUCAGUGGUGAAAGCCCGGAGCUCAACUUCGGAACUGCCAUUGAAACUGUGAGACUUGAGUACGAGAGAGGUGAGUGGAAUUCCCAGUGUAGAGGUGAAAUUCGUAGAUAUUGGGAAGAACACCGGUGGCGAAGGCGGCUCACUGGCUCGUAACUGACGCUCAGGCGCGACAGCGUGGGGAUCAAACAGG